GAUGAACGCUGGCGGCGUGCCUAAUACAUGCAAGUCGAGCGAACAGAUAAGGAGCUUGCUCCUUUGACGUUAGCGGCGGACGGGUGAGUAACACGUGGGUAACCUACCUAUAAGACUGGAAUAACCCCGGGAAACCGGGGCUAAUGCCGGAUAACAUUUAGAACCGCAUGGUUCUAAAGUGAAAGAUGGUUUUGCUAUCACUUAUAGAUGGACCCGCGCCGUAUUAGCUAGUUGGUAAGGUAAUGGCUUACCAAGGCAACGAUACGUAGCCGACCUGGGAGGGUGAUCGGCAACGCUGGACCUGAGAAACGGUCCAGACUCCUACGGGAGGCAGCAGUAGGGAAUCUUCCGCAAUGGGCGAAAGCCUGACGGAGCAACGCCGCGUGAGUGAUGAAGGGUUUCGGCUCGUAAAACUCUGUUAUUAGGGAAGAACAAACGUGUAAGUAACUGUGCACGUCUUGACGGUACCUAAUCAGAAAGCCACGGCUAACUACGUGCCAGCAGCCGCCGUAAGAC
rnacentral:rRNA from 1 species